UCUCUCUGCUGCCACCUUGUGAAGAAGGUACUUGCUUCUCCUUCUCCUUCCACCAUGACUGUAAGUUUCCUGAGGUUUUCCCAGCCAGAUGGAACUGGUGAAGCAUGGAUGAGGUUAUGACUCAGCUUUGACCAUGCAGCCAAAGACAACAUCCUAGGAACUGUGAGCCAAGGGGAUGGGAGGAAGCCAUGGCCCCGACUGACCCGAUGGAGCUGAGUAGCCCGACCAGUCUGGACCACCCACCCCUGGCCUUUUGCUUGAGAAAUAAAUUAAUUUCAGAUUCUUUAA
rnacentral:lncRNA from 10 species